rnacentral:tRNA from 1 species
CAAGGAGGCAGCGGGGAUUCGACUUCCCCUGGGGGUA